rnacentral:tRNA from 1 species
GGAGAUGUAGUUCAGUGGUAGAAUACUUGCUUAGCAUGCAUGAAGCUCUGGGUUCCAACUCCA